CCUCCACUCACCCCCCAUUCAUCUUUGAAUCUCGUGUGUAUGUGCCGCACUGAACUUUAUUUCUCUGUGGUGUGUGGUGUGAUGUGUGGUGUGUGAUGUGUGUGUGAUGUGUGGUGUGUGAUGUGUGGUGUGUGGCGUGUUCUGUGUGAUGUGAUAUGAUGUUCCCAGUCUUGGCUGGGUCUGCGUGGAUUGAUUCACCGUCCAGGUCUGCGUGGAUUGAUUCACCGUCCAGGUCUGCGUCGAUUGAUUCACCGUCCAGGUCUGCGUCGAUUGAUUCACCGUCCAGGUCUGCGUCGAUUGAUUCACCGUCCAGGUCUGCGUCGAUUGAUUCACCUUCCAGGUCUGCGUCGAUUGAUUCACCUUCCAGCUGUGCUCCAAGUAUUUGUCGUUUGAUAUUACUGUACCAGAGUGUGUUGCCAGGUUGGCUCACUGUCGUUUAGGACCAAAUCUAAUGCUGCUCAUCAACACAGUUGACCUUACACUGGCAUCCUGACCUUACACUGGCAUCCUGACCUUACACUGGCAUCCUGAUGAAAUGUCGGAAUAUUUGGACAGGGAGAAAAGUGAAUUAGAAUUUGUCCGGUACCAGGAAUCAGCGGUCUCUCCAUCUCUCCGUUGGGAGUGGCUGUUCAGUUUUGUGGAAAUAGCCUUAGAAUAGAUCUACUUUCUUCUCGAUAUCUACAUGUCAUGUUUAUGAACGUUUCUGCUAUUGGUGGGAUGGGGUGGGGUGGGAUGGGCUGACAGGUCAGGCUUGUCUGUGGGGUACCUGGUACCGGUAACUAAAUAAUGAAACGUUAAGUUCCAAGCCUAGAUCUAGAUCUGUGUGACGGCUUAAAGUAAACACCAUCGAGGUUACUGGUUAGUUGACGAGAAUUUUAUGUAAAUAUUCCUAGUUCCGAUGACCUAGUUAUAUGUUGUAAUGAUUUAUGGAAACACUUGUGUCUGUACCACUGUGUGUAACUUUGUUUGUUUGUUUGUUCUUUGUGAGUUCCUCUUCCAGCAUUCCAGCCAGGGCCGUCGGCCGGGAGCAGUUCUGCACAUUUCUCUGAUUUGGACAUGAUGGAGCAGUUCUGCACAUUUCUCUGAUUUGGACAUGAUGGAGCAGUUCUGCACAUUUCUCUGAUUUGGACAUGAUG